UACGAGGGGGGCAAGCGUUGUUCGGAAUUACUGGGCGUAAAGGGCGCGUAGGCGGUUCGCUAAGUUGAAUGUGAAAACUCUGGGCUUAACCCAGAGCCUGCAUUCAAUACUGGCGGGCUAGAGUUCUGGAGGGGAUAGCGGAAUUCCUGGUGUAGCGGUGAAAUGCGUAGAUAUCAGGAGGAACACCGGUGGCGAAGGCGGCUAUCUGGACAGAGUCUGACGCUGAGGCGCGAAAGCUAGGGGAGCAAACAGG
rnacentral:rRNA from 1 species